GCAGUCUGAUGGAGCACGCCGCGUGAGUGAAGAAGGUUUUCGGAUCGUAAAGCUCUGUUGUUGGUGAAGAAAGAUAGUGAGAGUAACUGCUCAUUAUUUGCCGGUAAUCAACCAGAAAGUCACGGCUAACUACGUGCCAGCAGCCGCGGUAAUACGUAGGUGGCAAGCGUUGUCCGGAUUUAUUGGGCGUAAAGCGAGCGCAGGCGGAAAGAUAAGUCAGAUGUGAAAGCCCUCGGCUUAACCGAGGAAUAGCAUCGGAAACUGUCUUUCUUGAGUGCAGAAGAGGAGAGUGGAACUCCAUGUGUAGCGGUGAAAUC
rnacentral:rRNA from 1 species